GGACGGGUGAGUAACACGUGGAUAACCUACCUAUAAGACUGGGAUAACUUCGGGAAACCGGAGCUAAUACCGGAUAAUAUUUUGAACCGCAUGGUUCAAAAGUGAAAGACGGUCUUGCUGUCACUUAUAGAUGGAUCCGCGCUGCAUUAGCUAGUUGGUAAGGUAACGGCUUACCAAGGCAACGAUGCAUAGCCGACCUGAGAGGGUGAUCGGCCACACUGGAACUGAGACACGGUCCAG
rnacentral:rRNA from 1 species